rnacentral:rRNA from 1 species
UACGUAGGGUGCGAGCGUUAAUCGGAAUUACUGGGCGUAAAGCGUGCGCAGGCGGGCUUUUAAGCCAGACGUGAAAUCCCCGGGCUUAACCUGGGAAUGGCGUUUGGGACUGGAAGUCUGGAGUGCGGCAGAGGAGACUGGAAUUCCUGGUGUAGCAGUGAAAUGCGUAGAUAUCAGGAGGAACACCGAUGGCGAAGGCAGCUCGCUGGAACGGUACUGACGCUGAGGCGCGAAAGCGUGGGGAGCGAACAGG